GUGUCACAGAAAACUGCCUGGGACAACCAGGAGGAAGGUGAGGAUGACGCCAAGUCCGCGUGUCCCUUGAUGCCCUGGGCCGCACGCAUGAUACAAUGGAGCCGACAGCGGGACGCAAUAUCGUAAGAUGGAGCAAAUCCCUUAAACGGCUCCCCAGUUCGGAUCGAGGUCUGCAACUCGACCUCGUGAAGCCGGAAUCGCUAGUAAUCGCGCAUCAGCCAUGGCGCGAUGAAUAUGUUCCUGGGUCUUGUACUCACCGCCUGUCAAGCCAAGCGAGUUGGGAAUGCCCAAAGUCCCUGGGUUCCACCAGGGCCCAAGGCAGGCUCAAUGAGAGGGGCUAAGUCAUAACAAGGCACGUGUAGCGGAAGCUGUACGUGGAUCACUUCAUUU
rnacentral:rRNA from 1 species